rnacentral:rRNA from 1 species
AGAACGAACGCUGGCGGCAUGCCUAAUACAUGCAAGUCGAACGAACACUUCGGUGUUAGUGGCGCACGGGUGCGUAACGCGUGGGAAUCUGCCCUUGGGUUCGGAAUAACAGUUGGAAACGACUGCUAAUACCGGAUGAUAUCGAAAGAUCAAAGAUUUAUCGCCCAGGGAUGAGCCCGCGUAGGAUUAGCUAGUUGGUGAGGUAAAGGCUCACCAAGGCGACGAUCCUUAGCUGGUCUGAGAGGAUGAUCAGCCACACUGGGACUGAGACACGGCCCAGACUCCGUACGGGAGGCAGCAGUAGGGAUAGUGGACAAUGGGCGCAAGCCUGAUCCGAGCAAUGACCGCGUGAGUGAUGAAGGCUUAGGGUGUAAAGUCUACUUUACCCGAUA